rnacentral:rRNA from 1 species
GACGAACGCUGGCGGCGUGCCUAAUACAUGCAAGUCGAACGCUUUUUCUUUCACCGGAGCUUGCUCCACCGAAAGAAAAAGAGUGGCGAACGGGUGAGUAACACGUGGGUAACCUGCCCAUCAGAAGGGGAUAACACUUGGAAACAGGUGCUAAUACCGUAUAACACUAUUUUCCGCAUGGAAGAAAGUUGAAAGGCGCUUUUGCGUCACUGAUGGAUGGACCCGGGGGGCAUUAGCUAGUUGGUGAGGUAACGGCUCACCAAGGCAACGAUGCAUAGCAGACCUGAGAGGGUGAUCGGCCACACUGGGACCGAGACACGGCCCAGACUCCUACGGGAGGUAGCAGUAGGGAAUCUUCGGCAAUGGACGAAAGUCUGACCGAGCAACGCCGCGUGAGUGAAGAAGGUUUUCGGAUCGUAAAACUCUGUUGUUAGAGAAGAACAAGGAUGAGAGUAAAACGUUCAUCCCUUGACGGUAUCUAACCAGAAAGCCACGGCUAACUACGUGCCAGCAGCCGCAGUAA